rnacentral:piRNA from 1 species
UGACUUUAGAGUUCAACUGUUUUGAGAACU